UACGAGGGGGGCGAGCGUUGUUCGGAAUUAUUGGGCGUAAAGGGUGCGUAGGUGGCUUUGUAAGUCAGUGGUGAAAGCCCGGAGCUCAACUCCGGAACUGCCAUUGAUACUGCUUAGCUUGAAUUAGGUCGAGGUGGAUGGAAUAAUACAUGUAGCGGUGAAAUGCUUAGAUAUGUAUUAGAACACCAAUUGCGAAGGCAGUUCACCAGGCCUAUAUUGACACUGAGGCACGAAAGCGUGGGGAGCAAACAGG
rnacentral:rRNA from 1 species